rnacentral:rRNA from 1 species
GACGAACCGUGCGAACGUUGUUCGGAUUCACUGGGCUUAAAGGGCGCGUAGGCGGACGGUCAAGUCGGGGGUGAAAUCUUUCAGCUUAACUGGAAAAGUGCCUCCGAUACUGAUCGUCUCGAGGGAGGUAAGGGCAUGUGGAACUUCCGGUGGAGCGGUGAAAUGCGUAGAUAUCUGGAGGAACACCGGUGGCGAAGGCGGCAUCCUGGACCGACAUUGACGCUGAGGCGCGAAAGCCAGGGGAGCAAACGGGG